UACGUAGGGGGCAAGCGUUGUCCGGAUUUAUUGGGCGUAAAGAGCGUGUAGGCGGCCUGAAAGGUCAGCUGUGAAAACUCGAGGCUCAACCUCGAGACGUCGGUUGAAACCAUCUGGCUAGAGUCCGGAAGAGGAGCGUGGAAUUCCCGGUGUAGCGGUGAAAUGCGCAGAUAUCGGGAAGAACACCCGUGGCGAAGGCGGCACUCUGGGACGGUACUGACGCUGAGACGCGAAAGCGUGGGAGCGAACAGG
rnacentral:rRNA from 1 species